rnacentral:lncRNA from 1 species
GGAAUGCAGGCUCAUAAUGUCGUCAGUUUAUGUUUUUAUAUAUAUAAAUAUAUAAGCUAGAAAGAGAGCUAUUUUAUGAAAUAUUGCAGCCCAUACACUUAUACAAUAGCCAACUAUAUUAGGGCUGUCAGUUUUCAUUUGAUAUUCUAAUAUAGGUGCAGUGAUGCCACUUCACAACUUUAUUUUUGCAUGAUGCAGGCCAGGAGUGCUGAGUAGACAAUGAUGAGACUGAAAAGUCAAAAAUGAAUGCGAUGUUUUUCAAGCAGUCAUACUAAACAAAUGUCCCUAACAGGUGAUAUCAUCUUGCAUAUAUUUGGGAACCUACAGUAGGAGCACUUUGUUGUGGAGCGUCAGUGAUGCUGCAGGCCAGGAGUAGGCUACUGAGUGGACCACAGUGAGACUGAAAACAUAGUGAGUUGAGCAAACAGCCACUGGCAAACAUAUCAGACUCGGAGCCAGCCAUGGCAAAGGUCAGUGCAUUCUCAGCCCAGAGGUACAUCAUCGAUGACACAGCCACGGAGAAGUUAAGGACUCUUCUGACAGGCUCGCGUGAUGAAACAAAGGUGAUAACCACCAUCAACAGGAAGUUCCCAUUAUCCAUAAAGGAUAUCCGCAGUGUCUGUCCUGUUGAGUUACUAGGCGAAUCAGCAUGGGUUAUGCCAUGGCUCACAGAUGAUGCCGUGAACUAUCGGGUUGCACAGCUUGCAAGGGGCAACUCAGAGACAGCAGCACUUGGUCAUUUCGACUUCAUAUUGUGGCACAGACAGUGGAUCAAAAACAAAAAUGUAGAUGACAGCCUACUAAAUCAUCUCCCUGUUCUGGAUUUCUCCAAAAAAGAAAUUUGUGUCUAUGACUCGUUGAAGACCAUGACGAGUAUUGAUGAGGAUGAUAUGGAUCUUCUAAGAAAUGUCUUCCGGAAGAGGGGAGGGUUGAAGGACUGGAGGGAGACGUACCAUGUCCAGUGGCGUCAGAAAGACUCUGUCAAUUGUGGGAUUUUUGUCUGCUCAGCUGCUGAGAAUGAAGUCAACAAGUUAGAUGUCCAAGAGGAGGGACUGACAAUGACCCAAUGCCGGAUUCUACGUAGAUUCCAUGGAGCAGAAAUGAUAAAGAAUGUUGACGAGGCUAUAAGAAAUGUUGAUGGAAAUACAGCUAUUUUUUAG